AUUGAACGCUGGCGGCAUGCCUUACACAUGCAAGUCGAACGGUAACAGGUCUUCGGUUGCUGACGAGUGGCGAACGGGUGAGUAAUACAUCGGAACGUGCCCAGACGCGGGGGAUAACGAGGCGAAAGCUUUGCUAAUACCGCAUACGAUCUAAGGAUGAAAGCAGGGGACCGCAAGGCCUUGUGCGGUUGGAGCGGCCGAUGGCAGAUUAGGUAGUUGGUGGGAUAAAAGCUUACCAAGCCGACGAUCUGUAGCUGGUCUGAGAGGACGACCAGCCACACUGGGACUGAGACACGGCCCAGACUCCUACGGGAGGCAGCAGUGGGGAAUUUUGGACAAUGGGCGAAAGCCUGAUCCAGCAAUGCCGCGUGCAGGAUGAAGGCCUUCGGGUUGUAAACUGCUUUUGUACGGAACGAAAAGGCUCUGGCUAAUACCUGGGGGACAUGACGGUACCGUAAGAAUAAGCACCGGCUAACUACGUG
rnacentral:rRNA from 1 species